UAGAGUUUGAUCCUGGCUCAGGAUGAACGCUAGCUACAGGCUUAACACAUGCAAGUCGAGGGGCAGCGGUAUCGAAAGCUUGCUUUCGGUAGCCGGCGACCGGCGCACGGGUGAGUAACGCGUAUCGAACCUGCCUCAUACUCGGGAAUAGCCUUGCGAAAGUAAGAUUAAUGCCCGGUGUUUUCAGAGUCCCGCAUGAGGCUUUGAACAAAGAUUUAUCGGUAUGAGAUGGCGAUGCGUCCCAUUAGCUUGUUGGCGGGGUAACGGCCCACCAAGGCAUCGAUGGGUAGGGGUUCUGAGAGGAAGGUCCCCCACAUUGGAACUGAGACACGGUCCAAACUCCUACGGGAGGCAGCAGUGAGGAAUAUUGGUCAAUGGGCGGAAGCCUGAACCAGCCAAGUAGCGUGCAGGAAGACGGCCCUCCGGGUUGUAAACUGCUUUUAGUUGGGAAUAAAACGGGGCUCGUGAGCCCCCUUGCAUGUACCAUCAGAAAAAGGACCGGCUAAUUCCGUGCCAGCAGCCGCGGUAAUACGGAAGGUCCGGGCGUUAUCCGGAUUUAUUGGGUUUAAAGGGAGCGCAGGCGGACCUUUAAGUCAGCUGUGAAAUACGGCGGCUCAACCGUCGAACUGCAGUUGAUACUGGAGGUCUUGAGUGCACACAGGGAUGCUGGAAUUCAUGGUGUAGCGGUGAAAUGCUCAGAUAUCAUGAAGAACUCCGAUCGCGAAGGCAGGCAUCCGGGGUGCAACUGACGCUGAGGCUCGAAAGUGCGGGUAUCAAACAGGAUUAGAUACCCUGGUAGUCCGCACAGUAAACGAUGAAUACUCGCGGUUUGCGAUACAGUGUAAGCCGCCAAGCGAAAGCGUUAAGUAUUCCACCUGGGGAGUACGCCGGCAACGGUGAAACUCAAAGGAAUUGACGG
rnacentral:rRNA from 1 species